ACGCUGUCUUUGAGCCCCCGGCGCUCCUUCUUGUGGUGCUGGGGGUUAAGCUGCAGUGCUAUAGCAUUUUGCUGGCGCAUAACUGGGGCUGCCUGCCUAUCGUGGGCCGCCCUUUUAACCGCUAGCUACAGGC